rnacentral:tRNA from 1 species
UCCCAGGUGGCUCAGAUGGUAAAGAAUCCACCUGCAAUGUGGGUGACCUGGGUUCAAUCCCUAGGCUGGGAA